rnacentral:rRNA from 1 species
UACGGGGGGGGCAAGCGUUGUUCGGAAUUACUGGGCGUAAAGCGCGCGUAGGCGGCUUUGCAAGUCGGGUGUGAAAUCCCCAGGCUUAACCUGGGAACUGCAUUUGAAACUGGCGGGCUUGAGUGUGGCAGAGGGGGGUGGAAUUCCGCGUGUAGCAGUGAAAUGCGUAGAGAUGCGGAGGAACACCGAUGGCGAAGGCAGCCCCCUGGGCCAACACUGACGCUCAGGCACGAAAGCGUGGGGAGCAAACAGG